UUAUAUUAUUUAAAAAUUAUUAACCUAAUUAUUAAUAAAAAAAUUUAAAGUUUGAAUCUUGAUAUACGUGUGCACCAGAUAAAAUGGACUGGAGAUAGUAUUAAUUAAAACUGUGUAACGGCGUAAUGAAUGCAAGGUUGGUGUUUACCGUGCAGCAAGAUUGUUGUCAUGUUUGAUGAUCUGUGCAAACAUACAUGAUACGCGAUCUUUGAGUAAGGUACUCCCUCGUCCCUCUGUCCUGAGAGUUUUAAUUUCUAUAAUUCGUGGCAGUCAAGCUUUUUUAAGUUUGACCAAUUUUAUAUAAAAGAUUAUCAAUAUCUAUAAUAUAAAAUGAAUAUUUAUGAAAAUAUAUUACAUGAUAAAUCUAAUAAUACUAUAAAUCUUAAUAUUUUUAAAAAUUCGAUCAAAGUUUUAAAGGUUUGACUUAACAACUCUAGAAAUUGAACCUGUCACGGAGUAACUGAAACAGAUGGAGGCAUGGAGCGACGUAUGAGAAAC
rnacentral:lncRNA from 1 species